rnacentral:rRNA from 1 species
CAGCCGCCGCGGGAAUACAGAGGGUGCGAGCGUUAAUCGGAUUUACUGGGCGUAAAGCGUGCGUAGGCGGCUUUUUAAGUCGGAUGUGAAAUCCCUGAGCUUAACUUAGGAAUUGCAUUCGAUACUGGGAAGCUAGAGUAUGGGAGAGGAUGGUAGAAUUCCAGGUGUAGCGGUGAAAUGCGUAGAGAUCUGGAGGAAUACCGAUGGCGAAGGCAGCCAUCUGGCCUAAUACUGACGCUGAGGUACGAAAGCAUGGGGAGCAAACAGGAUUAGAUACCCCUGUAGUCCCUGUCUCUUAUAC